AGUCACUGACAUUAGAUACCCGUGUAGUCCAGGUGUAAACGCUGCAGACUUGGUGUUGGAAGUCCUUUGGGGGCAUUCAGUGCCGGAGAGAAGUUGUUAAGUCUGCUACUUGGGGAGUACGUCCGCAAGGAUGAAACUUAAAGGAAUUGGCGGGGGAGCACCACAACGGGUGGAGCCUGCGGUUUAAUUGGACUCAACGCCGGAAAUCUCACCGGAUAGGACAGACAUAUGAUAGUCGGGCUGAAGACUCUACUUGAUGAUCUG
rnacentral:rRNA from 1 species